GACGAACCGUGCGAACGUUAUUCGGAAUCACUGGCUUAAAGCGCGUGUAGGCGGGACGGCACGUCGGCCGCUGAAAUCCCCCGGCUCAACCGGGGAAGUGGCGCCGAUACGACCGCCCUGGAGGGACGUAGGGGGGCUGGAACUUCCGGUGGAGCGGUGAAAUGCGUUGAGAUCGGAAAGGAAACGCCCCCCGUGGCGAAAAGCGGGCGGGGCUGGGAC
rnacentral:rRNA from 1 species